rnacentral:rRNA from 1 species
UACGUAGGCAGCAAGCGUUGUUCGGAGUUACUGGGCGUAAAGGGUGUGUAGGCGGUUGGAUAAGAGUGGUGUGAAAUCUCCCGGCUUAACUGGGAGGGUGCGGUGGAGACUGCCGGACUGGAGGCACUCAGAGGCCGGUGGAAUUCCCGGUGUAGUGGUGAAAUGCGUAGAGAGUCGGGAGGAACACCAGUGGCGAAGGCGGCCGGCUGGGGGUGACCUGGACGCUGA